rnacentral:rRNA from 1 species
AUGAUGUGGAUUAAUUCGAUGCAACGCGAAAACCUUACCUACCCUUGACAUGUCUGGAAUCUUGGUGAGAGCCGAGGGUGCCUUCGGGAGCCAGAACACAGGUGCUGCAUGGCUGUCGUCAGCUCGUGUCGUGAGAUGUUGGGUUAAGUCCCGCAACGAGCGCAACCCUUGUCACUAGUUGCCAUCAUUUGGUUGGGCACUCUAGUGAGACUGCCGGUGACAAACCGGAGGAAGGUGGGGAUGACGUCAAGUCCUCAUGGCCCUUAUGACCUGGGCUACACACGUGCUACAAUGGGCGGUACAAAGGGUCGCGAACCCGCGAGGGGGAGCCAAUCCCAAAAAGCCGCUCUCAGUUCGGAUUGCAGGCUGCAACUCGCCUGCAUGAAGCCGGAAUCGCUAGUAAUCGCGGAUCAGCAUGCCGCGGUCGAAUACGUUCCCGGGCCUU